UGCGCAGGCGGGGCAAUAAGUCAGUGGUGAAAUCCUGCGGCUUAACCGUAAAACUGCCAUUGAUACUGUUGCCCUUGAGUAUAGUUGAGGUGGGCGGAAUAUGUAAUGUAGCGGUGAAAUGCAUAGAGAUUACAUAGAACACCAAUUGCGAAGGCAGCUCACUAAGCUAUCACUGACGCUGAGGCACGAAAGCGUGGGGAGCGAACAGGAUUAGAUACCCUGGUAGUCC
rnacentral:rRNA from 1 species